AUAAGAUUAAAUUUUAUUGAAUUUACAUUAACUAAAUUACUUAAUAAAUUUUAGUAUUUUAUAGAAUUAAUUUUUUGAAUUAAAACUGAAUAGGUUUAAUAAUUAUAUAAGUUUAAUAAUUAAUUAGUACCUUUUGUAUCAGGGUUAAUUAAUUAAUUUAAUUAAUUUUUUUUAUCCCGAAUGAAGAAGAUCAAUAUAAAUAUUUUAGUACUUGUUUCAAAAAGUUUAAUAAUAUUUUGAUAGUAAUUAUAUGUUAGUCAUUUCUUUUAUAUCUGGUUAUUAAGGAAUUAUAUUCAAUUUAGCAUUUAUCAAUAAUUUAUAUUAUAAGUAUUUAAGUGUAAAUUCAUUAGGGAUAAUCUUAGUGAAAAAAUAUAAUUUAUGUUUUUUUUGUGAUUAUUUUCUUUUAUAUUUUGAUUUGAGUUUUUAAUAAAUUAUUACUAAAAUAUAUGAUUUUAUUUAAUUUAAUUUUUUACUUAUUUUUUUCUAUUAAUAAAUUAUAGAUUUAAUAAUGAUUAAAUUAGUAUAAUUUAUAUAUUAAGUAAAAUGAACUCGACAAAUUUUUAUUUCCAACUGUUUAUCAAAAACAUUUCUUUUUGUUUAUUUAUAAAAAGUAUCUUCUGCCCUAUGAUAAUUUCUUUAAAUGGCUGCAGUAUUUUGACUGUGCAAAGGUAGCAUAAUAAUUAGUUUCUUAAUUAGGAGCUUGUAUGAAUGGAUGAAUGAGAUUUAAUUUUUAUUUAUUUUAAUAUUAAAAAUUUAAUUUUGAGUAAAAAUGCUUAAUUAUUAUCUUGGGACGAUAAGACCCUAUAGAACUUUAUUUUGAUUUAAUUAUUGAUUUUUUUAAAUUAAAGGUUAAUAUUUAAGUUUAAAUUUUGCUGGGGUGGUAGUUAAAUUUUAACUUUAAUUAAAUAGAUCAUAAAUCAGUGUUAUUAUAAUCCUUUGUUUGGAAUUAAGACAAAGUUACCUUAGGGAUAACAGCGUAAUUUUAAUGGGGAGUUCAUAUCUAUAUUUAUUUUUGCGACCUCGAUGUUGAAUUAAGAAAAAUUAAAGAAGCAGCAUUCUUUAAUUUAAGUCUGUUCGACUUUUUAUUUCUUACAUGAUUUGAGUUCAAACCGGCGUGAGCCAGGUUGGUUUCUAUCUAUGAUAGAAUAAAAUUUACUUAGUACGAAAGGACCAGUAAUUUUACUUUAAGUAUACAAACUUUAAU
rnacentral:rRNA from 1 species